GCCGCGAAAAAUAAUCCCAACAGCAUUAUAAUGUUUCUUCCAUUUAGAUUUUACUCUCCUCUCCACUUUAGCUUUUUCUCUCUUCCAGUAGUUUCUUCGCCGAUUGGAGGGAGACAAAGCUUUAACAACGCCACCGCCACGAUGAGCCGCCGCCGCCUUCCACGCACCGCCACCGCCGUUGCCGCCAUCUUCAGAUCUGUUCCGCCGAUUUAGUAUCUCAACUGGUUGAGACUCGAGAUCUGUCGGCUAGGGCAAAAUCUGUCGAAUAGCGCAACCAUUUGGUGCUGCGGUGAAGAGAGACGACGGAGGAUGGCUGGGUUCCGACGGUGGCGACCAGAAUACGAAGAAGACACCCUGUACGGGAUCACCAGAAGCCUGGCAGAAUGAAAAGAACAUUGCAACAUUGAAGUAUGCACAAUAUACAUUGAACAUUGCUCUGAAGUAUGCACAAGGUUGUCUGCUCCUUACAUAGGUGGUUCUUGAGCAAAUGGUUUUUGAAUCAAUGCAGCAGCAUGUAAUAUAAAUUAAUUAAGAGUAGCAUACCAAAAUGUUAUUCUGUAAUUCUGAGUAUCUGACAAUCUGUAAUUGUUAUCCAAUAAUACGAGAAAGAGGGGCUCAAAUCAUUUGUUGAAAUUCUAGAAAAGUACAAUCCCAAUGUGGUAUUAGUGGAGAAAGAUGUGUCUCAUGAUGUACAGGAAUUCAUCCUCAAGAAAGGAAUCACAUUAGUCUUUGAUAUGAAACUUCAUCGCCUUGAGAGAGUUGCUCGAUGCACUGGUUUGCCUAUCUUAUCCUGUGAUACAUUGGCUGCCCAAAAACUAAGGCAGUGUUUAUUUGAAUAUGAUGCAUGUCAUUUGCUUUCCUCUGACCUGCAUGGUUCUUGCUUUCCUCUGACCUGCAUGGUUCUUGCUUUCCUCCUUGUGCAACUUGAAAAUAAGAAAUAGGUGGUUCUUGAGCAAGUCAUGCAUUGCAACCUUGAAGUAUGCUACUGGUCAAGAAGGGGAUGAGAAGGUUCACAAGGCACUUAUCUAUCUAGACUAGAUUAAUUUUGUUGUAAUAUUGUGAACCUUUUUUAUUCCUGUAGAUAGAUGAAUGGCUAGACUAUGCUCCUAUUUUUGUAUCUGGCUCUGAAUUUGAAGGUGCAUGUGGUUAUGUGGAUCAA